GUUAAGCUGGAAGCGUUUUCGAACUUCUAUAUAGUACACGUCUGCUGUUGUGCGCCAUCUUUCAUAGUCAUAGAAAUAUCUAUUCUAUCAUUCGGCUCGCUAUUAUCGACGUAGUCAGAAAUUGUCACCGACACCACAGAGAGACCGAUACAAUGGCCGUCUAGUGAAAUCUAUAGCACGUGUUUGACAUUUAUGAAUCGAAUUUCUCCAUGGAUCGACACGUGACAGAGGUAAUGUGCCCCCGUCAAGCACCCAUGGGACCGAUCUAUGUUUGGCUGAUACGAUAUAUCAACAGAUCUAUAAACAGUUUCAACAGUUUGAUCUAAUAGAGGAAAAUUACAACUCAUCGUAUAAAUUACAAUGACACCAUGGAAUUUCGUGCAGACGAUUGGCCAGUCGGUCGACCAAUGAAACACGAAGAAAGAAUACACUAUGGGGGUUGAUACGCGUGCGCCAGUUUCCUGGGGUGAAAUUUAUGGGAUUAGGUGACUACGCAAACAUAAUUUCGUUAUGAUAACUCUUUUCUCUUCUUUUUUUCUUUCUUUCUUUUUUUGAUGAGGUUAUGUUGGAUUAUA